rnacentral:rRNA from 1 species
UACGUAGGCAGCGAGCGUUGUUCGGAGUUACUGGGCGUAAAGGGUGUGUAGGCGGUUGUUUAAGUUUGGUGUGAAAUCUCCCGGCUCAACUGGGAGGGUGCGCCGAAUACUGAAUGACUUCGAGUGCGGGAGAGGAGAGCGGAAUUCCUGGUGUAGCGGUGAAGUGCGUAGAUAUCAGGAGGAACACCGGUGGUGUAGACGGCUCUCUGGACCGUAACUGACGCUGAGACACGAAAGCGUGGGUAGCAAACAGG